rnacentral:rRNA from 2 species
GCACCACAAGAGCGUGGAGCAUGUGGCUUAAUUUGACUCAACGCGGGGAAUCUUACCGGGUCCGGACAUACUGAGGAUUGACAGACAUCACCACGUCUUUUUGUCCUUAAAAAGACAAAAGAUAACAGAUCUUUCAUGAUUAUGUGGUGGGUGGUGCAUGGCCGUUCUUAGUUCGUGGAGUGAUCUGUCUGCUUAAUUGCGUUUCAAAUGUAUUUUUGAUUUCUCAAACGAGUCUACGAAGAUGUCUAUUCAUAACAAGCACUUCAUUUAUGAUUUGUUUGGAAUACGACUCUUUCGGCUCAAUUGAACGCAACGGACGUGAUUGCAAGUCCUUGUUGAACUUCUAUACAUAUCAUUUACAUUCUUAACUGAGUGUAUCUAAGAUAAUAGAGUUCGCUUUCUAUUGGUGACGGGAUCUCCAAUCACUUUCGAGUGAGAGUGAGUGAUCUAAUCCUUUAGGAAAACUCGGGCGACCGCUGUAAUACUUUCUUUUUAAAACAGAGGAAGAUUGCGGCAAUAACAGGUCUGUGAUGCCCUCAGAUGUCCCGGGCCGCACACGUGCUACAUUGAUUAGCGCAGUGCGCAUACUUUCAAUAUGAUACAUUGGUUUUGGUAGUAAGCUAUUCAUCUGAUGGAUAUGCUACUCUCCAUACCAAUACUAUCUAGUCUGAAAAGACUGGGUAAUCUAUUGUAAGUGCUGGUUCCUCUUCCCGUUGAGCAUUUUAAUAAUGGUCUCUCUACGUCCCUAGUAUAUUCUAGUGCGAUUGUAGUUGAGUCUGCCAUUUAUGCAAGUGUCAAUUCUCAGUGGGGACAGACAUUUGAUAAUUCUUUGUCUCGUUCUUAACUAGGAAUGCCUUGUACGGGUCUUGGUUCAACAGACCACCCGGAAUACGUCCCUGCCCUUUGUACACACCGCCCGUCGCUCUUACCGAUGAAUUUCACUGUGAGUUCAAUGGACCGAUUUUUUCCCUUUGGAAAUUUGGUCAAACAGUGAGAUUUAAAGGAAAGAGAAGUCGUAACAAGGCAUCCGUA